UCUCUCUCUCUCUCUCUCUCUCUCUCUCUUCAGCAGUGGGUUUGAGCAGGAUGUGGAGUUUGGGGAUACGGGGCGUCUCGGUGACUGUCAUGAGUUUUUGGCUACAGCUUCAGCACCAGGUUUCAAAUCAUAUGGCGACGCAACUUCUGGUUAGUUUCCUUUUUACUCAAACGAUUUCCUUUCCUUCGGUUCAGCGUUUCUCUUUCACCAUCUUCAUCACCAUCAGUCUUCAUCACCAUCAGUCUUCAUCACUAUCAGUCUUCAUCAUCAAGAUUAAUCCGUCUCUAAACAAUCGUUUUCAUCUUCGUCUCGUCUGCAUGUUUACAGUAGACAUGUGCUGAAAAUCUCUUGUUCACUCUCAUGUUAUUAUCACACACACACACAUACACACACGUUAUAACGUUAAAUUAUUGUGUUUGUGACUCAGUAUCAGCAGAUUAAUAUUAAUGAGCGUUAUGAAGGAGGUAAAUGAACACUCGGUUUGUUGUAGGUUUCAGGUGUUUGCUUCUGAUGAUUUAUUAUCAUUCAGGUUUCAGGUGUUCGGUGGUGAUGAGUCAUUAUCAUUCAGGUUUCAGGUGUUUGGUGGUGAUGAGUCAUUAUCAUUCAGGUUUCAGGUGUUUGGUGGUGAUGAGUCAUUAUCAUUCAGCGUUCACCUCGACACUGAACACCGCUACAGGAAGUGAAGAGAGGCUUUUUCUCACCGCACUGUUCUUGGUGUUCAGUAUAAAUGUGCUGGUAGUUAAUUAGAUGUGUUGGUGAGUGUGAUGUUGAGAAGUUUAUACUAAUCACUGUAUGGAAGUUUUAUAUCAGCACUUGUCUAAUGAACAGAUGAGUGUUUCUCAUGUUUCUCAUGUUUCUCAUGUUUCUCAUGUUUCAGCCUGAAAUUUUACCACAAUAUCAUUCCUUCAUUUUUCACUAACACAGUGUCACACUCAUUUAUUCAUUCAUUCACUCAUUUAUUUAUUUAUUUACUUAUUUAUUUAUUUUUGCUUAGUUUUUCAAUCAGAAUGUUUUUUAUUGUUGAUGAAGUUUGGAGUUUACAGUUUGGGGUGAAGCAGAAAAUACAGGACGCGGUCAAACGCUGAUGCACUAACGCUUCUGUACGUUCACGUUUAUAUACGCGUACGCAAGACUGAGUGUGUAUCCUCACUGUACAGUCUACAGCAACGCUCUACACAACAACACUACACAACACGCUCUACACAACAACACUACACAACAACACUACACAACAACGCUCUACACAACAACACUAUACAACAACACUACACAACACGCUCUACACAACAACACUAUACAACAACACUACACAACAACACUACACAACACGCUCUACACAACAACACUAUACAACAACACUACACAACAACACUACACAACACGCUCUACACAACAACACUACACAACACGCUCUACACAACACUAUACAACAACACUACACAACAACACUACACAACACGCUCUACACAACAACACUACACAACACGCUCUACACAACACUACACAACAACACUACACAACACGCUCUACACAACAACAACACUACACAAACAAACACUACACAACAACGCUCUACACAACAACACUACACAACAACACUACACAACACGCUCUACACAACAACACUACACAACAACACUACACAACAACACUACACAACACGCUCUACACAACAACACUACACAACAACGCUCUACACAACAACACUACACAACAACACUACACAACACGCUCUACACAACAAACACUACACAACAACACUACACAACAACACUACACAACACGCUCUACACAACAACACUACACAACAACACUACACAACAACGCUCUACACAACAACACUACACAACACGCUCUACACAACAACACUACACAACACGCUCUACACAACAACACUACACACCACGCUCUACACAACAACACGCUCUACACAACAACACUACACACCACGCUCUACACAACACGCUCUACACAACAACACUACACAACACACUCUACACAACAACACUACACAACACGCUCUACACAACACGCUCUACACAACAACACUACACAACACGCUCUACACAACAACACUACACAACAACGCUCUACACAACACGCUCUACACAACAACACUACACAACACACUCUACACAACAACACUACACAACAACGCUACACAACACGCUCUACACAACAACACUACACAACAACACUACACAACACGCUCUACACAACACGCUCUACACAACAACACUACACAACACGCUCUACACAACAACACUACACAACAACGCUCUACACAACACGCUCUACACAACAACACUACACAACAACACUACACAACACUACACAACAACACUACAGAACAACGCGCUACACAACACUACACAACAACACUCUACACAACACGCUCUACACAACACUACACAACAAUUCUCUACACAACAACACUACACAACAACACUCUACACAACACGCUCUACACAACACUACACAACAAUUCUCUACACAACAACACUACACAACACUACAGAACAAUGCUCUACACAACAACACUCUACACAACACGCUCUACACAACAAUUCUCCCACACAACAACACUACACAACAACGCUCUACACAACACACUCUACACAACACUACAGAACAAUGCUCUACACAACAACGCUCUACACAACAGCUCUACACAACAAAACAAUGCUCUACACAACAAGACUCUACACAACACUACACAAUAACGCUCUACACAACAACACUAAACAACACUACAGAACACUAAACAACACUACAACGCUACACAACAACACUCUACACAACGCUCUACACAACAACACAACAACGCUCUACACAACAACACUCCACACAACACUCUACACAACAACACCGCACAACACUACACAAUAACGCUUUACACAACAAUGCUCAAACACACGGGUCAGAAGGUUCUCUAUAACAGCGGCUCUGACAGUAGCGCAGGUUUAUAUUAAUGCUCUCAUUCUGAUACGUUAUGGUUUCUAUAGUAACGGCUCGUUCACAGGGACGUGUACAGCGCACGCUCCACAUAAACUAAUUGUACAUGUGUGUGAUCAUUUAUGUAACAGUUAUGGAAGGAGUCUCCAGUGUCCAGAGGUAAAGCUUUAACUUUAUGUUGUCCCACAGAGAGGAUAAAGAGAGAAAAGAGAGAGAAUAGAGUGAGAGGAUAAAGAGAGAAAAGAGAGAGGGAAUAUAGAGAGAAUAGAAAGAGAAUAAAGAGAGGGAAUAAAGAGAGAGAGAAUAAAGAGAGAGAAUAAAGAGAGAGAAUAAAGAGAGAGAGAAUAAAAGAGAGGGAAUAGAGAGAGAGAAUAGAGAGAGAGAAUAAAGAGAGAGAGAAUAAAGAGAGGGAAUAGAGAGAGGGAAUAAAGAGAGAGAAUAGAGAGAGGGAAUAGAGAGAGGGAAUAAAGAGAGAGAGAAUAAAAGAGAGGGAAUAGAGAGAGAGAAUAGAGAGAGGGAAUAGAGAGAGAGAAUAGAGAGAGGGAAUAGAGAGAGAAUAGAGAGAGGAAUAGAGAGAGGGAAUAGAGAGAGGGAAUAAAGAGAGGGAAUAGAGAGAGAGAAUAGAGAGAGAGAAUAGAGAGAGAGAAUAGAGAGAGGGAAUAGAGAGAGAGAAUAGAGAGAGGGAAUAGAGAGAGGGAAUAGAGAGGGAAUAAAGAGAGAGAAUAAAGAGAGAGAAUAAAGAGAGGGAAUAGAGAGAGAGAAUAGAGAGAGGGAAUAAAGAGAGGGAAUAGAGAGAGAGAAUAGAGAGAGAGAAUAGAGAGCGAGAAUAGAGAGCGAGAAUAGAGAGAGGGAAUAGAGAGAGAGAAUAAAGAGAGAGAAUAAAGAGAGGGAAUAGAGAGAGAGAAUAAAGAGAGGGAAUAGAGAGAGGAAUAGAGAGAGGGAAUAGAGAGAGAGAAUAGAGAGAGGGAAUAAAGAGAGAGAAUAAAGAGAGCGAUGGUGAGGGAACGAGUGUUUACAGCUGCUAUAACAUAAGUGAGAACAGGAACUCACUUGUUUCAUGAACAUUAACUGUAACUGUAAAUGGAUAAAAGUGUGAUGUGUUCUGUAAUAAAUGAAGGUGUGAUGGGGUGAGUUGCUGUGGUGUGAGGGGAAUAAUCCCUUGGGGGACGUGCUGUUAGAGGAAAGUAAUCAUGGUCAGGAAGGUAAAGUGUAUUAAAUAUAAUGGUGAUGUUUGUGUGCGGUUCGUAUAAAACUGUGAAGUUCUGCAUCAGUGUUUGACUUCGUGUCCCGUCCUGUAGUGCUGUACACAGGACCUUACACUUUCUAGAAGGUUCCGGACUCUGUGGAACCCUGGAGUAACUGUGUGCAUGAUGUGUUUACUGCAGCAGAACAGAACCCGGUGCUGUCAGUCACGCCGUCCUCCGCAUCAGAACCUCCCCCUCCCCCACACACUCCUCCCUCUCUUCCUCCUCAACUCCUCGACACGCGGAAAUCCGUUCUCCGUGACAGUUCGGAAUCUUCCAGAUCAUUUGAAUCGGUGAUGGAGGGUAAGGCCUUGACGGGAGCAAGGGAUUCUGGGUAAUGCUGCUGCUAGCGAUCAUCUUUCUGAAGCUAGCUGUUCAAAUACAAACCAUGGACGCACACACACACACAUGCACACACACACACACAUGCAUGCACACACGCACACACACGCACACACACGUGCACACACAUGCACACACACACACGUACACACGCACGCACACACACACGUACGCACACACGUACACACGCGCACACACACACACAGAUAUGUUUAGUAAAGCAGAUUGAAACUCAUUCCAUUUGAUUGCUUUGUAUUUUAACAGCUAGCUUAAUCUUUAAGCUGUUAGCUUAGCGAGGUGACGUUAGCAGCAGCGCUCAGAUCCCCACAGCUUACAUGUCAGUUUAUUUUCUUCAUUUGUUCUUUCAGUUUUUUUCCUUCAGUCGAGCGACAUGUCAUCUUUCUGUUCUCUUUCAUCUCUGCUGUUCAUCAGUUCCUUUCCUCUUUAGUUCUUCAUUCUGUUUCUCCUUCUCUCGGGUUUCCUGAAAGUCUUCCAAAGGCCUUACACAGUCCAGCACUGUCUCUGCUUGAGUCACUGACACACACUCUCACACAUUUCUCUCGUGGACACUAACACACUCUCACACGUUUCUCUCGUGGACACUAACACACUCUGAAGACACGCCUCCUCUUCUCGGUAUGAUCAGGUAUCUGGGGAUAAACGCUAACAAACUUUACUCUUAAAGCUUUUAACGGCUGAGUGGGCGACGUCUCCUUCACUAACAUAAUCCUGUUACGUGACCUGUUAGCUUCCGGCUAAUCCAAUUCUCUCAUCUGCUCUGGAUGCACUUCUGCUCCAUGGGGCUGGAUUACCUUCACAUGUCUUCAUGAGUAUAAAGUUGAAAUAAAUCUCAGGAAGUGAGCAAAUGCCUCUGGGGGGAGGUGGAGGAGGUGGUGGAGGAAGUGGUGGAGCU
ensembl:lncRNA